AUUGAACGCUGGCGGCAGGCCUAACACAUGCAAGUCGAGCGGAGCGGCGGACGGGUGAGUGAUGCCUAGGUAUCUGACUGGUAGUGGGGGAUAACGUCCGGAAACGGACGCUAAUACCGCAUACUUUCAGUUGAGGCUAGGUCGGAUUAGCUAGUUGGUGGGGUAAAGGCUUACCAAGGCGACGAUCCGUAACUGGUCUGAGAGGAUGAUCAGCCACACUGGAACUGAGACACGGUCCAGACUCCUACGGGAGGCAGCAGUGGGGAAUAUUGGACAAUGGGCGAAAGCCUGAUCCAGCCAUGCCGCGUGUGUGAAGAAGGUCUUCGGAUUGUAAAGCACUUUAAGUUGGGAGGCGUUACCAACAGAAUAAGCACCGGCUAACUUCGUGCCAGCAGCCGCGGUAAUAC
rnacentral:rRNA from 1 species